AUUGAACGCUGGCGGCAGGCCUAACACAUGCAAGUCGAGCGAGCGGCGGACGGGUGAGUAAUGUCUGGGAAACUGCCUGAUGGAGGGGGAUAACUCCUGGAAACGGUAGCUAAUACCGCAUCCCCUCUGAUGUGCCCAGAUGGGAUUAGCUAGUAGGUGGGGUAACGGCUCACCUAGGCGCCGCUCCCUAGCUGGUCUGAGAGGAUGACCAGCCACACGGGAACUGAGACACGGUCCAGACUCCGACGGGAGGCAGCAGUGGGGAAUAUUGCACAAUGGUCGCAAGCCGGAUGCAGCCAUGCCGCGUGUGUGAAGAAGGCCUUCGGGUUGUAAAGCACUUUCAGCGGGGAGGCGUUACCCGCAGAAGAAGCACCGGCUAACUCCGUGCCAGCAGCCGCGGGAAUAC
rnacentral:rRNA from 1 species